rnacentral:misc_RNA from 1 species
UCUCCGUUGGUGAACCAGCGGAGGGAUCAUUACAGAGUUGCAAAACUCCCAAACCAUUGUGAACGUUACCUAUCCCGUUGCUUCGGCGGGCGGCCCGGGCCCCGCGCCCGGCGCCCCCCGGCCCCCCGUGGGCGCCCGCCGGAGGUAAACCAAACCUUUGAAUUGCAUGGCCUCUCUGAGUCUUCUGUACUGAAUAAGUCAAAACUUUCAACAACGGAUCUCUUGGUUCUG